UACGUAUGGGGCAAGCGUUAUCCGGAUUUACUGGGUGUAAAGGGAGCGUAGGCGGCAGGGCAAGCCUGAUGUGAAAGCCCGGGGCUCAACCCCGGGACUGCAUUGGGAACUGCCCCGCUCGAGUGCCGGAGGGGCAGGCGGAAUUCCUAGUGUAGCGGUGAAAUGCGUAGAUAUUAGGAGGAACACCAGUGGCGAAGGCGGCCUGCUGGACGGUGACUGACGCUGAGGCUCGAAAGCGUGGGGAGCAAACAGG
rnacentral:rRNA from 1 species